GGGUGGCUGGUGAGACCACUAAAUGGGAAAUCCAUGUACAUCUUCCUUUUAAUUAUGCAAUUUUGACCAUAUGUGUAGAAAGUGACAUACUAUACCUUAUAGAACUAUCUCUAUAAGAUAUUUUAAUUGCGGAAAUCUACGAACCAAGUGUAAAGAAAAAACGAAAAAUCAUUUCUAGUCGGAGAUAUUCUAGUGAAAUUCUGAAUACCGAAAAUGAUCUGGGGAUUUUAUAUAGAUGGGAGAGAGUGAGAAAUUAAAAAGCGUAUUUUCAUCUUUAGAAACUACGUCUCGCCGGUCAUUGGUUGAAGAAUGUUAGAAGUAGCGGUGGAUCUAGGAGAGGGUCUUUCAGGCAACUGUCGAGACCGUCUUUAAGUGUAUAGCUACCUUUUUUAUAUGUGGUGGUGAUAUCUCGCGAAUCGAUAUGAUAACAAAUUACUUUGCCGGUUAAAAAGAAGCCAAACAAAUACUAAAACUAUCAACAACUGGUGCAAUAUUAUAAUGCCAGUUGAUGAGUUGAACUCAUGAACUGUCCUUUAAUAUUUUGAUCACAAAGCAAACUGUACUUGUGCUUUUGUUGCAAACAUACCACUACACUUACUUAUCUUACCAUAUAUACCACUAGACUCUUGUUUUCUUUGCACACUAGCCACUAGGUUCUUUUUUCAACAAUUGGAUAUCGCAUGACUUUUACUUUUUGUGAUAUUAUUACACAUCGUUUGGUAUCAAAGGAUCGAAAAUUCAUUUUAUUUCCAAAUGAAUUACUUUAUAGAAUUCAUUGUUAAAUGAAUGUCAUAUUCAAAUCUUAAAAAUAUUAUAAAUUGAAUUGUUAAAUUAUGUUUCCUAUAACGUGAUUACAUAGAUUUGAUUGUAGUGAGUAUAUAUCUGUCCUUUUAUUGUCUUUAGUAGAAUUCUUGUGGAAUUCAUUUUGAAAUUCCACCUCAAUUCCUCGGAAUUGUUUUAACUAGCUUCAUUUCCGCGGAAUUCAAAAUGAAUUCCUUCAUAUACCAAACACGUCAAAAUUCAUUUCAAAAUGAAAUCCAUAAGUUUUAAAGAAUUCAUUUAUACCAAUUAGAGUGUUUGUGUUCCUUAGGGUAAGACACCAACUUUUCAGGGAUCCCAAGAUUCGACACUUAAGAGAGGCAGUCGCAGAUAGUCCUCAAAUAGUAAGUAAGUAAAACAAAUUAUGAAAGAAUUUGGAGCUAUGUAGCGUCGAAGUGGUUAAGUUAAAGGAAACAAACAUAAUAUCGAUGUCUAUAUCUAGAGUGUGUUAGAUUCAAAUCUGAUACUUUAAAAUCACCAACCCGGCAGCAUCAUGAGUGAUUAGUAUGUAACAAACAUGAACCUCGAGCGAUGACAUGGUACUAGUAUGAGUGAGUGAGUAAUUAAUGUAAAUCAGUAAACUAAACGGAGAGUGGGGGCACGUGACAUGAGGGUGAGUGAGAGUCCAAUAAAGGGUGAUGAUGAUUAAAGAGCGGGGAGGUUAAUAUAAACAAUCCUUUGUACUUAAGUACUUAAGUGUGAUUAGUUUUUCGUGGAGAUCAAAGCUAAUUUUGGAAGGGGCAGGGGCACGUGUCGAGUGUGGGAGAGAGAAAAAGUUUUGAUGUUAGCGAGCAAGCAAGCAAAGGCCCCCCCCCCCGCCCGCGUCUAUGUCAAACACGUCCAAGUCUCUCACUACCAACACAAUUGAGCGAACUUNNNNNNNNNNNNNNNNNNNNNNNNNNNNNNNNNNNNNNNNNNNNNNNNNNNNNNNNNNNNNNNNNNNNNNNNNNNNNNNNNNNNNNNNNNNNNNNNNNNNNNNNNNNNNNNNNNNNNNNNNNNNNNNNNNNNNNNNNNNNNNNNNNNNNNNNNNNNNNNNNNNNNNNNNNNNNNNNNNNNNNNNNNNNNNNNNNNNNNNNNNNNNNNNNNNNNNNNNNNNNNNNNNNNNNNNNNNNNNNNNNNNNNNNNNNNNNNNNNNNNNNNNNNNNNNNNNNNNNNNNNNNNNNNNNNNNNNNNNNNNNNNNNNNNNNNNNNNNNNNNAGUAUGGGGGGAGAGAAAAAGAUUUUGUAUGUUAGCAGACAAAAAAAAAAGGGCCCCCCCCCCCGCCUAUGACUAGUACUAGCAUGUCGACUGGACGCAUUACCAAAAUUUGAGAGACUUUUGUGUGGCUGACUUCCUCGAUCAUUGGACCCACUUGCACCCAUGCACGUGUCGUGUGUCUAGGCAAGUUGAAGAUCAUCCAGCUCGACUCUUCAUGUUUGACGUUGUAUACUGUGAAAGCAUACUAAUGGGUGGAUGCACGAGCAAACCGUGGCCGUUCUCGUCGCAUUAGAUGAGACUCGAUAAAGGUAUAUAAAUUAUGUCAAUUUCUCUCUUAUUGGUACUUUAUGUUUUGGAGCGAUUAUACAUACGUCUAAAUUGAUUAUAAAUAUAACCUCAAAAACAAAUAUAAAAGGGAUAGACUCAUCGAAUCAAGCAUCGAAUGUUACCGCCUAUCCUCCCACUCUCAAGUGAAUGAGGCCUCCUAAAACACCCCUAGAGUGGGUUUGAGUCCGAGUCCUCCAAGGCGCAUUCGUUGGGCUUCUUGGGCCCAUCAGUAAGUCAUCAUUUACAAUUGUUUAAACUCUUUAAUUUAUAUCCACAUGUCAAACAACAAAUUAUUUAUUUCACUUUGACUUGAGUCAAUAAACCACAAAUAUCAAUCUAAAAAAUUCAAACCAUUUUCAAAAAGAAAACUUAUAGUUUGACCAAAUUGGUCAUAACACCACGGUAAAUUUCCUAUUCGAGGGAGGGUGAAAACAAAGGGUAAAAAUGGAAAGAAAACUAAUUAGUAAAAAAAGAUGGUGGACUGGUGGUGCUGGGAGAAGUGAGAAAUGUGUAGAUAUUUCAAACGAAGCACAAUGGUUGUAGUUAGUAAAAACCAGAAAAGAACGAGGGCAAAACUGGAAUAGCACGAGAUGCUAUAUUAAAAAGGCAAAGGCAGGAGUGGCGAGUGAACGGCGCAGUUUCUGUCCUUUCCCGGUAAGCCCCGCGAUUUGCUGCAAGCAGUGGCUAAGAACUCCACCAAAGCUUAAUCCUCCAUUUUCAUCCUCCACUUUCCACAGUUCCUUUUCAGCCUCACUUUCUUCAUCUCCCGAACCCUAGCCGUAAACCCACCAACACAAACACACAGAGCCAACCGAUUCGAUCGAUCCUAGUUCAUCCGAAUUCCCAGCGGCAGUUUUCCUUUAUUAACGGCUUUUUUGCUUACUCUUGUGUAGGGACAACCAACCAGUGAGAAAUCUGUGCUUCUGACUGUUAGACACUAGUAAACCCAAUAGUCUCGAAACUGAACUGAGCAGGGAAGAAGAAGAAUUCCGGCACCGGCGAACUGGAAGUUGCUCUGCUCGGUCGUCAGACUGUUAAAAGGUUGCAUUUUUUCUCAUCAACGGUCGCUAUAAAACAGUGGUUAUGGAGUUGGCUGUAGUAGCGAUCAAACUGUUUGAAAACCUAACGGUUUUUAAUUUGUUUGUUUACAGAUCUGUGGGCGAUCGGGGGACUGGCAUCCAGAUAAAAUCAAAGAUCUGUGAGGUAUAAUUGGUGAUUGGCUAAUGGCUUGGCUCUCCCCUUUAUGCUUUUAUUUUUGUGCAAAAUCUUAUUAAGGAAGGGCAAUAAUGGUGAUUAGAUGAUUGACACCUGUAAACCAACAAUAUCCCUACAAAGCGCAGCCAAGUAAUACAUAUAUUUAAUUUUUUUAGUAGCACCAAUUUUAAUUACUUGUUGGUAAUUCUGAAACACCGCUGGGCGGGGGUUGGGAUUUGUCAUUUAUUGUUCUUCCUUCUUCUUUCUCUACGAGCUAGCUGGAAGAGUAAUAAUGUCUGCCAUUUUUACACCAACGAAGAACAAGGGUGCUGCUCAUGUUCGUUCUAAGCUUUCGUUAAAGCUAAUGGUCUUUAGGUUUAAGCUUUCGUUUAUAAUCAUCACCACCUGCUACUGUGCAUGGUACAGCAAAACUCAGAUCUGACGAGGCUAGUAGUACGAAUUUAAGCAUGUCUGCUUUGAAUAGUAUUCACUGUUUCUCACUCCAUUCAUAGCUAGCUGUUUUUCUUUACUUUUCUUUUCUUUUUCUUUGAAUUUAAUUUGGUUGAUGUGGGUUUUCUUUGGGUUGCAGGGUGGGUUCAGGGCUAAGGGGGUGUGAGGGUGGCUGCCAUUUUCAGUAUUGGCUCUGGUGCAGUCUGCUGCUGCUGCUGCUAUAAAGCUUCUCUCUUUCUAUCUCUACUGACUUAGACGGUGAUAUAUCGGAGUGAAAAAAGAAGGGCUCUUUUUUAUCGCUACGCAGCCAAAAAGUACAGUCUGUAUUAUCGUCAUCAAUGCUUAGGACCCAGCAAAAACCCCAUCUGCAUUCCCCCUUUCCUCUUCUUCAUCUUCCAUCUCUGUGAGAGGAUCCUUUUUUUCUCUCUUUCUUGGAGUUUCAAAAGAGUGGAGGAAGAAGUGGUGAAGGGAGGAAAGAGCCAAAGAGGGGGGUUUUCUUUUUGACAAAAGAAAAUAUCAUUUUUCAAAGUUUUGACAGAAAGGCAUGAAAGUGGCAUGGAGGUGGAGGACCUUCAUCAAACACAACCACCCAGCAAGUUCUCCAGAAUCAGUAAUGGCGGCCGAAGUGAUAACAGCAAGAUAGGAACCACAAACGGAGUCCUCGGAGUCGGUGGGGACAACAACCACCACCACCAUCUCCGCCAAUUCCAAGCGGAUACUGAAGAAGAAGAUGGUGGUGGUGAGAUCAAGAUGUCUCUUUGUAACACUCCCACCGGCGCUGGACCUAUCGUCGCCGCCGAAGUUCCAGAUGGCGCCACCGGUAAUCGGCUCAGGGGAUGGCACCACUCACGGAUUAUUAGGGUUUCUAGGGCAUCCGGCGGGAAAGAUCGGCACAGUAAAGUCUGGACCUCAAAGGGUUUAAGAGACCGCCGUGUCCGGUUAUCAGUCACCACCGCUAUCCAAUUCUACGAUCUACAAGAUAGAUUGGGAUACGACCAACCAAGUAAAGCUGUUGAAUGGCUGAUUAAAGCUGCUUCCGAUGCGAUUUCGGAGCUCCCUUCCCUCAAUGCUUCUUUCCCCGACAUCCCAAAACAGUAUGACAACGACGAGAAAAGAUCCACCAACCCCGCCGCCGUCUCCGGAGGCGGCGGCGGGUUUGAUUCAGCUGAUCUAGAGCUUGAAGAACCCAACCAGAACCAGAACCAUCUUCAGCAACAACUCUCCUUAUCCAAAUCAGCUUGCAGUUGCAACUCGGAGACGAGUAAAGGUUCUGGCUUGUCACUCUCGAGGUCCGACGUGAGGGUUAGUCGCGUUAAGGCCAGGGAUAGAGCAAGGGAGAAAGCUGCAGCCAAGGAGAAAGAGAAAGAUUCCAACGUACACCACCAGAAUCAUCUCAGCAACACAAUGUCUCAGAACUCAACCUUCACUGAGCUUUUAACGGGUGGGAUUGGCAACACUACUAAUACUACGAUCUCGGGCAAAUCCAGAUGCCGCAAGGAAUCCCACAGUUCAAUCUGUCUGCAGGAGGGGAGAAUGCUCAUAAUCACAAUCACAAUCACAAUCAUCAUCAUCAUCAGGAGCAGCAGCAGCAACUGCAGCUGCAGCAUUUCCCAUUCGUUUCCGAUUAUUUGAUGCCAGCAGCAGCCACGAGUACACAAGGAGGUCAACACAACCAAGGUGUUGACUACAACCUCAACUUCACAAUCUCCUCCUCGGGCCUUGCUGGUUUCAAUAGGGGGACCCUUCAGUCCAAUUCAUCUCCAUCGCCAUCUCCGUCUCUAGUGUUGCCUCAACAACUCCAACAGAGGUUUCCUAAUUCUCACAUUGACGGAUCAUCAUCCGCCACACAUUUGCCCUUCUUCAUUGGUGGUGGUGCUGCAGGUGCACCUCCGCCUCUCGAGAAUCACAACCACCUCUUCCCAUCUGGGUUGCAGCUCUGCUAUGGCGAUGGAAGCAGCAGCAGGCACUCUGACCAGAAGGGUAAAGGAGGGAACUGACCCUCAUUGCCUUGAACCACUCAUCCCUCUCAAUCCAUCUUCUCCAUGGUAAGGCAAAGCUCCUAUCUUUAAUAAUAAUCUUACCGUACGUCGUUAGACUGCUUUACUGUAUUUGUUCCUAGUAAUGCCAACUAUCUUUCUCUUUCUUGGUAAUCAUAAACUAAGUUUAGUUAACUGUACACUACUUUUGUGGGGGUUAUAUGCAUAUUUUAUUAUCUCUGUGUGAUUCCAUUGCAUGGGUUGUUGUGAAUGAUGAUCGGCGGGUUGUCUCCCUCUUUGUAUUCUUGUUGGUUCCCUUCUUCCCUAGUCCCUAACAUCUGGUGAACUUGGUGACAGGUGUUAGCAUCUCACUUGCAAUGUUGCUAUGUGUGUUUUACUUCUGACCAUACUUAGGUUCACUUUGUGGGGUGAAACCUUAAUCGCUUUAGAAUCCCAAUUUUCUUUAAAGCCAAACCACAACAGCCAUGUGGCGGGUUGUUUGGCGCUGCGUUUUUUUUGGUUGGUGUAUUAAAAAAGAACACCGGGGGGGGCGCCGUGAGUUAAAUGCUGCCCCUCUCUUGUUGUUUCGUUUCUCUCCUCUCUUUAAUGUAAGUAGGAGAUUAAAGGAGGACCCUUUAACGAAGUUAUCUUCUUUUCAUUGUCGUCCGUUUAUUGAAUGAUAGAUAGUCCUCUCAAAUAGGAAAUUAAUCUCUAUUUAUGUAUAGUUGCAAUGUGUUAUUUUGUUUCCUAACCAUAUUAAGAAUUAGUGUACUUAUGGCUGAAUCUUUGUUGUUUGUCAAUUUUGAAUUGUGUGUUUGUGAAUUGCUCAUGUUCUUGCAGUAGCACCAUAUAUAGAAAUUCAUUUUUUUAAAUAUUUGGAGACUAACAGUAGAGUAUAUGUUCAGUACUCUACACAUAUAUGAUUAGUUAGUUGAGUAUGUACACAUUCACAUUCCACAAUGUGUAUAAAUAACAUUAUUUCAAUAUUUGGGAAAAUUUCUUAAUUUUCAUGCUCCAUUCAUCCCACGUAGGAAAGAGUAGGAUGAAAAUGAUUGAAACCAUUGUGUUGUUAUCACUAUUGAAAGGGAUUUAUUCUGCUUGUUAUCACUAUUGAAGGGGAUUUAUUCUGCUCAAACUUUUAGUUGACUCAACAUAGGGUUUUGAAUGGAAAACCUUCUAAUCUGUAAGUACAGUGGCCAAAUUCAUUAUUUUAAUUGGACUUAUCAUUAGAUAGAGAUUUAGUUGUAAGUGUUAAAAAAUAUUACAGAAAUAAAAUUAUAAACUUUUUCCACCAAUCGGAGUUAUUAGAAGGUAAUAAGUUUUUACACGGUAUUUCAAACGUGUUAAGAACUGUUGUAAAAAGAACUUUUUCGACUACCAUUUGCCAAUACAGUUCAGCAUUAGCAUCACAUUAUAGCCUACCAUCUCAGUUUACUAUGCGGAUUAUAGCCUUAUAGGAUGAGAAGUAAUUUUAUUGACUUGCCAAGUUCUUUACUAUAUAUCUCCAUAAGCAUACUUUUCCUUUCAAAGUAUUAGUAUGUCAGGUAAUCCGGAAUAAAGUUAGGGGCUCUAAGAGGUCUAUAGCUACUCUAGUACUCUUGGGGCACCGUGUAUCCAUUUACAUAAAACCAAAUAGCCCUAGGUGCAUGUUACCCCAAAAAAAAUUAGCCAUAGGUGGCUUGGACGACGUUUAGAAGCAUAUACUCUGUCAAUAUCUUCUUCCCCUUGACUGGAUUCUGAGUCAGAUAUUGUUUAAUGAUCGUUCGUAAUCAUAUAAUAUCAUCUUAGUGAAUUCGCUAGGGUCGAUCUGGGUGUACAUAGAAUUGGAUAACUUACAAUUUGUUUACUCGAAUUUUGGUGUGGAGUUAGUUCUGAUAUGUAUAUAUUUAGAUAGUUUGGAAUUUUUCGUUUGUCCGAAUGAAAUUAAUGAUCAAUGUUUAGUAUUUCUAAACAAGGUAAUGGUUUCACCUUUCAUGUUUGUCUUUAUAGAUCAUUUUUGUUGAUGCUUCUGUUUGUUAUUGAUAUUAAACCAACAACUCUUGCUUGUCAGUUAAGCUAAUUAAUGAAACAUGUCGCCAUCAUCUUGUCUUCCUAGAACUGGACUGGUUUUUGUUUUGCGCUGCAGAUGGUUCAACUGUAGCUAGUUGCAACACUACUCGUUUUAGAAACUGAAACUCAAUAUCCGAGGACGAUAUAUGCUCUUUGGCUGUUCGGUUUCAUAGUUUUGCCGCGUGAUUCUGCUGACUUGUUGAUUGUUUUGGUUGCUGAUAUGGUGUAGGGAUUGGAAUAAGUGAAGGUGUAGGAAACACAAGGGGGAGAGUGUAGGCUGGUUGCUUCGUCAGGCUCCAGCAGUUGCUUUCUGGGAGGGUUGUAAGAGUAUUGUUGCCUUUAAUUAUAAGGCUAAAGUACACUAAGAGUGUGUGGGCUGUUAAUGAAGCUUAGCUUGUUAGAAUCUCUACUGCUUCUGGGAGCAUUUGGAUGGGCAUCUUCUUCCUGGUGCUGCUGCAGGCUGCAGCUGCUAAUUAUCUGCUUUUUGUGUGUGUGAUUUUGGGUACUACUUGUGUCGUUUUGGUUGAGUAUUAUUAUAUGAAACGAUUCAGUUCAUUGGUGUGAUCUUAAUUCGUUAAACCAAAAUUCUUGGCUCAAACAGUGGAGCAACGUGGUUCGGCCAAACGGUGCCGUAUAUACUCUGUUACGGUGAGCCAAGCCCAAACCAACACCGCGGGUUUAGCUCUUGCAACCCAAUGGGCCGUUUUUGCUAGUUUAAGCCCACUAUUUAUCUGCGUGGGUCUUCCUUUUCCUCCCAAAAUCAAUCCUUAGGCCCUGAAAAGUCCAUAUACCCCGAUGUAUACCAAAAACACAUGCAAAACAUGAACAAAUAAUGAUCACAAAUCUCAGUGGAAUCUGAUAAAAUGAUAGUGAAAAUGUUGUCUGAUGUGGGAUUGAAUUGGCUAAGGUUGGGUAUUGGUCGGGUUAGUUGGGUUUGAGAUUAAAAUUAAUAUAUUCGUUAAUAUGAUGGGUGAUUGUUUGUACGACUCACACUCAUCUACUUAUAAAUGGUGGGUUGUUGGUGGUUAAUGACGGAUCGUGGAUAAAUUUGGGUGGGUUGAGAGGAUGGAAAAUUAUAAAAUAGUUCAUUAUAAUUGAUUAAUCGUAAUUUAGAUAAAGUAAAAUCAGUUAAUUUUAUAAAGUAAAACUUAAAGAACAACCAUCUACAGCUAUAACAAAGAGAGAAGCAAACUUGUAAGACUUGGACUAUCCAUCCAUUUUAUUGUUAUGAUUUAAAAAAUAACUUAUAAGGAUUACAACGUUAAGUUAUCAAAAAUAAAAGAAAAUUAAGAAUUCGGGACUAUGAGUAAAGUGUUUCGAUGCGUUUGGAGUGGUGACUAAUUAUACAACCCAAAUCCACCCACUUUUAAACGGGUUGGAUUGACGACAAGUUGGUUUGGGUGAGUUUGUGAAUAACCCAACUCAAAUACUCAACUCUGGUUUGGGUGAGUUUGUGACUAAUUAGCAAUCCUCACGUUCAAAGGACGACUUAAACUCUCAACGACAUAUGGUCAAAGUUAGCAACUGGAUGUAGUCCAGUCGGCAAGAACACACUUGGGAAAAUUCCAAGUUUGGUAGGGUACAAGGGAUGUAUGUUCUUCAUUUUGCAUACGUAUAACAAGUUAUUUACACAGUUUGACACGUAUGUCUACGACUCUCCACAAUUUCCAAUACCCCCCCUCAAUCACUGGCCAAGAGACAACACCCACAAUCACAGAUGGAUAGAUAGUUAGGUGGAUGUGCAUUCUAGCUAGUUCUCUCUUCUUCUCUUCAUUUUUUUAAUGGUUUUCUGCAGUAGCACAACCCCUUCACUUGGCUCGAUCAGUGCUUGCUGGCUGGAGGAUGACUGAUUAUGGAAGACAUGUGGGGGCCUUUCAAGGAAACUUGUAUGAUCUCCCAGCACCAAAAAAGUCUUUGAUUUUGCCUUUUGGGAACAACUUGGCUCACUACCACCCCAUGCUUUGGCUUCAUAUAUAUUUUCUUUCUUUCGGCCGAAUGGACAACUCUAUUACACAUUUUAAUGAGCGAUUCAAAGUAUGAUCGGUCGGAUCAGAUAUAAUUGAGAAUCUUUUUGUUUCAACGAGUAUCAUCUUUCGUGGCAAAUCUGGGAUCUCCAUAGAAUAAUCAUUUCUCAUAUAUGACGAUGUUAAGAACCGUUGCAUUGGAAUAAGUCGAGUUGUUGGAGGGGGAUUCUGAUUGAUAUUUAUAUUAUUCAGUAACACGUCCCUUCAAACGGAAGCCCUCAUAAGGUUAAUCUAAAAAUAAAUUGAACUUCUCAUAAGAAUUAAGGUUUCCACAACUUUGAUAAGUCAUAUGCAUGGAUUUGAGGCUCUGAGAUUCGAAACAGAGACCUCUCUCGGCCAUAUAAGGUUCUGAUGCCAUACUAAAAACAGUUGCGUCACAAUAACUCAAAUUGUUAAAAGAGAAUUUUGAUUGAUAUUUAUACAAGACGAAACAAUCUUAAACUCAUAACUUAAUCAACUUGGCCAAUGUUGAGAGUGUUUUGGGGCUGUCUGCUAACUUAUUCACUAUAUAAUAUUCUGAUUUCGCAUGUGAAAAGUUGAAUAAAAUUUGACAAAUUUCCUAUCCGAACAAUUUCUUGAUGCCAUUUAAAUUUCAUCGUAAGAUACCAUCCAUCUAAAAAAUAACAUUUUUCACAAAUAAUAAUACAAUGAAAUGCACUUUAAUUAUAUAGAAAGAGAGUCAAUUAUACUUUGCGUAUUGUUAUUAUGGCUAUAAAGCCAGACGGUAGCAUCAAGCAUACUUUCGUACACAAUGAUUUAAUUUAACAGGUGAAAAGUUCAAUAAAUUUUAACAAAUUUCCAAUCCAAAUAGGAAAAGAGAACUUUCAUGCUACCAUCUAAAUUACAUCCAAACUCACUAUCGGUAUAAGAUUAUAUUUUCCACAAACGGUAAUACGAUAAAGUGCACUUUAAUUGUUAUUAUGGCUAAAAAAUAUAAAGCCAGUAAGGCUGGGACUUUUAGAUGAGGGUAACAAAAAAGUUGAGUGAACCAAAACCCAUCUCCUGCAUCAGGGGAAAAGGGACUCUUCUUAGCUACUUGCUCUUUAGAUCAACAUCUGUGGUAACAUGAUUGCACAUCAUUUUUAAUGCCCCCAUGUUAGCACACUGACAAAACCCCUGGCAUUUAAUUUCCUGGAUAGUUGAAGCAAAAUCUGAAACCCAUCUCACUAAGCAAGCACACUACACUCACAAAUUUUAAUACAUAAAAAAAGGUCAAGAAGUAAUCGAUAUGAGAAGCAUGCAAGACCUGAAAAAGAUCACUGUGUGCACACAUCACUCACGUGGAAAUAGCAAGGCUUAACUAUGAAGCAAGCAAUAAUAAGCAUAUCGUCGAACCUAUGACCCGAUUGAGCUAAUCAGCCUGUUAAUCCCGCUAGUGAUUAGGUGUUUGAACCGGAAGUGUUUAUGGUUUGUUGAGCUAAAACCCUCUUUACCAGCCUCAAAAUCCGUAAAACCAGGCUGAUGAGAUCUACUGGUAUUCACGGAUGUUCAAACUUUUUUGGUGUUAAUGAAUAAUAUAAAAAUCACUUUGUGCCCUAUUCUAACAACUCGAAUUAUCUAGAUGUAAUGGUACACAUAGCACUCAUGUGGAAAUAGGAAGGUCUAACUAUGAAGCAAAUCGUUCAACCUGUGAUCUAGUCCGGCCGAUCAACCUGUCAAACUCGCUAUUUAUUAUCUAAAAAUAAUUUAAAUUAAUCGUUUGAACCAGAAUUUUCAAUAGUUUGCUGAUCAGGUUUCAAUGGUCUGAAAACUGUCUCACCCGCCUCUAAACCCACAAAACUAGGCUAGUGAGAUCUGUUGGUAUCCAUGGAUGUUCUGAAUUGCUAGUAUUAAUGAAUAAUAUAAGAAUUGAUUGGUACUAUCUCCCAACAAUUCGAAUUAUUGGGAUGCAAUGACUCACGACAUGAUGUUUAAACACUUCAUGGCCAAAAGGUCUCUGGUUUGGCGCUUUAAAUCACGAUAGCUCCCCAUCCGUACUUAUAACAUGCCGAAACUGUGCAAAUCUUUUCUCAACUCGGAUCGACCGAUACAGUCUGGAUUUGACAGCUAUGGUAUAAUAAGAUCUGUCAUGUGAUACAAUAGUUGGAACAGACACCACCCAGCUAAGCUCCCUUAAUUCUAUCCACCAGAAAUGCAACAAAGUAAACGGAUAGAUUGGGUGAGAAUGCAAUAUAGCUUCACUUCCAUUUGUCAAUUAAUGCCGUCCAACCCACCAAGCUGGGUUCGAGCUUGCUUCCGGAACCAAUGAGACUAACCGUAUAAGGGUUGUCUCGUUCAAACCAAAUCCGUACGGUUUUGAAAACAUUGAUUGAGAAACAUCGUAAUCGAGCUGGUGACAGGUAAAAGACACCAGCUUGAUUAGAAAGGGGGCAUUGAAUCUAUUAAUUGCUAAGCUCCAAGAUUGGGAAAUCCCAACUUCCCCAGAGAAGGUCUACAAUAAUAGCAGGCUGAUCAGGAAAUCAAUGCAUCACUUUCCUGGUUUGCUACCUCCUCAAUUAUGUCAUUCAAAUUGAAAAACUCAAAUCAAUAUAAAAAACCCAGGUGGUGAAACAGAAAGAUUGACAGAUAGAACACAGGAAAAAGGUGGUGGUUUUAUUGGUUUAAAGUUCAUAAGGCAAAGGGUACAUGAUGAUGAUGAUGAUGAUAAUAAUAAUUCUCAUACCUACAAAUAUUCACAUAUUGGUACUGGGUGUGGUUAAAAUAACACAGUAAAAUGAUGAUGGGUAGCAAACUCAAAUCCCUUACAAAAGAUCUCAUGUGCCUCCUCCUCUCUCGCAGAAAACAACAGAUCAAGAUCUCUUCUUUACAUACCAACUUCAUCCAGCAGAGUACAGAAUAUAUAAGCUGACGAUGACCGCCACGAUGGCAAGUUUCGACGCAGGAUUCAACCUCGCAGGCAAAAGGCUUUGGUUCUCUCCACUGCAAAAAAAGAACUUCCGGGAACCAGCUCCUUCACAUUCUUCGACUUCCUUCUGCAACUAACUUAUCUGCAUAUUUGUCAAGAACAAAGCUAGAUCAGUUAUGCAUUCAAUGCAGAAAUUCGUAUGCAACUUCACACAAUUACUAGCAAAUGCAAUAGAAAAACACAUUGAAGAUAGCCAAAGUACAGAUUCAUAAACUCAAAAUGGCAUGCCGUCCCUUGCCCCUCAUCAACCAGAACGAUUGGAGACCCUUAAGAGGAAUAGAAGCAUCAAACAUUAGGAAACUAAAGCAUUGGUGCACAUCAUUCACCAUUGAUGUAAUUAAUUCACUGUAAGGAGGGAGGAAGCAUUGACCUCACAGCUGCCAUGAAUGGUGUUGGCAGGGCAAGUUUCAAAAAGAGUUUAUCUCCAAGGAGGAAGUCCUCCUUCAGCUGCCAUGAAUGGUGUUGGCAGGGCAAGUUUCAAAAAGAGUUCAUCUCCAAGCAGUAAGUCCUCCUUUUGACAAGCAUCUUAGCAGCAGUACCGUACGGUUCCUCGAAAGCAGUGGAAACCCAGGAAAGAUCGCACACUUCCUUCUUAGCGGAAGUCUGCUCGCUAGGCCUAAUAACAACCAGAACAAAGCAGUGGAAACCCAGGAAAGAUCGCACACUUCCUUCUUAGCGGAAGUCUGCUCGCUAGGCCUAAUAGCAACAAGAGUAGCGCCUUUCAACACAACCCCAUUGGGAAGCUCCAAAUGAGGAGCAUACCACAGACGCAUAUUCAAAGCAGGAACUAAAGUCCUCUUGGAAGCAGAGGAAGCCGACAAUGGCUUCACCCUAAGCUCCUC
rnacentral:lncRNA from 1 species